rnacentral:snRNA from 1 species
AUACUUACCUGGCAGGGGAGAUACCAUGGUCAUGAAGGUGAUUUUCCCAGGGUGAAGUUUAUCCAUUACACUCCAGAUUUGUUGAUCUUUCUGAUUUCCCCAAAUGUGACAGACUUGACUGCAUAAAGA